GACGAACGCUGGCGGCGUGCUUAACACAUGCAAGUCGAACGAAGUGGCGAACGGGUGAGUAACGCGUAAUCAACCUGCCCUUCAGAGGGGGACAACAGUUGGAAACGACUGCUAAUACCGCAUACUGAAGGAGGGGAUUGCGUCUGAAUAGCUCUUAGGAGGGGUAACGGCCCACCAAGGCGAUGAUCAGUAGCCGGUCUGAUAGGGUGAACGGCAAGAUUGGAACUGAGACACGGCCCAGAGUCCUACGGGAGGCAGCAGGGGGGAAGCUUCCGCAAUGGAGGAAAGUCUGACGGAGCAACGCCGCGGGAGAGAUGACGGCCUUCGGGUUGUAAAACUCUGUUAAUCGGGACGCGGUACCGGAAUAGGAAGCCACGGCUAACUACGUGCCAGCAGCCGCGGUAAGUC
rnacentral:rRNA from 1 species